rnacentral:rRNA from 1 species
GGUUAAGCGACUAAGCGUACACGGUGGAUGCCCUGGCAGUCAGAGGCGAUGAAGGACGUGCUAAUCUGCGAUAAGCGUCGGUAAGGUGAUAUGAACCGUUAUAACCGGCGAUUUCCGAAUGGGGAAACCCAGUGUGUUUCGACACACUAUCAUUAACUGAAUCCAUAGGUUAAUGAGGCGAACCGGGGGAACUGAAACAUCUAAGUACCCCGAGGAAAAGAAAUCAACCGAGAUUCCCCCAGUAGCGGCGAGCGAACGGGGAGGAGCCCAGAGUCUGAAUCAGUGUGUGUGUUAGUGGAAGCGUCUGGAAAGGCGCGCGAUACAGGGUGACAGCCCCGUACACAAAAAUGCACAUAUUGUGAGCUCGAUGAGUAGGGCGGGACACGUGGUAUCCUGUCUGAAUAUGGGGGGACCAUCCUCCAAGGCUAAAUACUCCUGACUGACCGAUAGUGAACCAGUACCGUGAGGGAAAGGCGAAAAGAACCCCGGCGAGGGGAGUGAAAAAGAACCUGAAACCGUGUACGUACAAGCAGUGGGAGCACGCUUAGGCGUGUGACUGCGUACCUUUUGUAUAAUGGGUCAGCGACUUAUAUUCUGUAGCAAGGUUAACCGAAUAGGGGAGCCGAAGGGAAACCGAGUCUUAACUGGGCGUUAAGUUGCAGGGUAUAGACCCGAAACCCGGUGAUCUAGCCAUGGGCAGGUUGAAGGUUGGGUAACACUAACUGGAGGACCGAACCGACUAAUGUUGAAAAAUUAGCGGAUGACUUGUGGCUGGGGGUGAAAGGCCAAUCAAACCGGGAGAUAGCUGGUUCUCCCCGAAAGCUAUUUAGGUAGCGCCUCGUGAAUUCAUCUCCGGGGGUAGAGCACUGUUUCGGCAAGGGGGUCAUCCCGACUUACCAACCCGAUGCAAACUGCGAAUACCGGAGAAUGUUAUCACGGGAGACACACGGCGGGUGCUAACGUCCGUCGUGAAGAGGGAAACAACCCAGACCGCCAGCUAAGGUCCCAAAGUCAUGGUUAAGUGGGAAACGAUGUGGGAAGGCCCAGACAGCCAGGAUGUUGGCUUAGAAGCAGCCAUCAUUUAAAGAAAGCGUAAUAGCUCACUGGUCGAGUCGGCCUGCGCGGAAGAUGUAACGGGGCUAAACCAUGCACCGAAGCUGCGGCAGCGACGCUUAUGCGUUGUUGGGUAGGGGAGCGUUCUGUAAGCCUGUGAAGGUGUGCUGUGAGGCAUGCUGGAGGUAUCAGAAGUGCGAAUGCUGACAUAAGUAACGAUAAAGCGGGUGAAAAGCCCGCUCGCCGGAAGACCAAGGGUUCCUGUCCAACGUUAAUCGGGGCAGGGUGAGUCGACCCCUAAGGCGAGGCCGAAAGGCGUAGUCGAUGGGAAACAGGUUAAUAUUCCUGUACUUGGUGUUACUGCGAAGGGGGGACGGAGAAGGCUAUGUUGGCCGGGCGACGGUUGUCCCGGUUUAAGCGUGUAGGCUGGUUUUCCAGGCAAAUCCGGAAAAUCAAGGCUGAGGCGUGAUGACGAGGCACUACGGUGCUGAAGCAACAAAUGCCCUGCUUCCAGGAAAAGCCUCUAAGCAUCAGGUAACAUCAAAUCGUACCCCAAACCGACACAGGUGGUCAGGUAGAGAAUACCAAGGCGCUUGAGAGAACUCGGGUGAAGGAACUAGGCAAAAUGGUGCCGUAACUUCGGGAGAAGGCACGCUGAUAUGUAGGUGAAGUCCCUUGCGGAUGGAGCUGAAAUCAGUCGAAGAUACCAGCUGGCUGCAACUGUUUAUUAAAAACACAGCACUGUGCAAACACGAAAGUGGACGUAUACGGUGUGACGCCUGCCCGGUGCCGGAAGGUUAAUUGAUGGGGUCAGCGCAAGCGAAGCUCUUGAUCGAAGCCCCGGUAAACGGCGGCCGUAACUAUAACGGUCCUAAGGUAGCGAAAUUCCUUGUCGGGUAAGUUCCGACCUGCACGAAUGGCGUAAUGAUGGCCAGGCUGUCUCCACCCGAGACUCAGUGAAAUUGAACUCGCUGUGAAGAUGCAGUGUACCCGCGGCAAGACGGAAAGACCCCGUGAACCUUUACUAUAGCUUGACACUGAACAUUGAGCCUUGAUGUGUAGGAUAGGUGGGAGGCUUUGAAGUGUGGACGCCAGUCUGCAUGGAGCCGACCUUGAAAUACCACCCUUUAAUGUUUGAUGUUCUAACGUUGACCCGUAAUCCGGGUUGCGGACAGUGUCUGGUGGGUAGUUUGACUGGGGCGGUCUCCUCCUAAAGAGUAACGGAGGAGCACGAAGGUUGGCUAAUCCUGGUCGGACAUCAGGAGGUUAGUGCAAUGGCAUAAGCCAGCUUGACUGCGAGCGUGACGGCGCGAGCAGGUGCGAAAGCAGGUCAUAGUGAUCCGGUGGUUCUGAAUGGAAGGGCCAUCGCUCAACGGAUAAAAGGUACUCCGGGGAUAACAGGCUGAUACCGCCCAAGAGUUCAUAUCGACGGCGGUGUUUGGCACCUCGAUGUCGGCUCAUCACAUCCUGGGGCUGAAGUAGGUCCCAAGGGUAUGGCUGUUCGCCAUUUAAAGUGGUACGCGAGCUGGGUUUAGAACGUCGUGAGACAGUUCGGUCCCUAUCUGCCGUGGGCGCUGGAGAACUGAGGGGGGCUGCUCCUAGUACGAGAGGACCGGAGUGGACGCAUCACUGGUGUUCGGGUUGUCAUGCCAAUGGCACUGCCCGGUAGCUAAAUGCGGAAGAGAUAAGUGCUGAAAGCAUCUAAGCACGAAACUUGCCCCGAGAUGAGUUCUCCCUGACCCUUUAAGGGUCCUGAAGGAACGUUGAAGACGACGACGUUGAUAGGCCGGGUGUGUAAGCGCAGCGAUGCGUUGAGCUAACCGGUACUAAUGAACCGUGAGGCUUAACCUU